rnacentral:rRNA from 1 species
ACUCAAAUGAAUUGACGGGGACUUGCACAAGCAGUGGAUUAUGUGGUUUAAUUCGAUGGUAAACGAAGAACCUCACCAGGGUUUGAAACCUAGUUGAAUCGUAUGGAAACAUACGCGUCUCACAAGGACAAUUAGGCAGGUGAUGCAUGGCCGUCGUCAGUUCGUGGUUUGAAUUGUUCCCUUAAGUGGGGUAACGAACGCAACCCUCGUUGCCAGUUACAAGUGUCUGGCGAGACUGCCCCCGCAUCAAAAUUUAAUUUCUCCAAAAGAGAAAUUGAGUCGUGAUGCGGGGGAGGAAGGCGAGGAUGACGCCAGGUCAGCAUGUCCCUCUGAUACCCUGGGCUACACACAUAAUACAAUCGCAUCGACAACGCGACGCAAAGUGGUAACACGGAGCAAAUCGUAAGAAACGGUGCGCCAGUUCGGAUUGGGGUCUGCAACUCGACCCCAUGAAGCCGGAAUUGCUAGUAAUCGCGGGUCAGCUAUACCGCGGUGAAUACGUUCUCAAGUCUUGUACACACCGCCCGU